rfam:Environmental sequence XZS116513.g2, whole genome shotgun sequence.
GGGGGACGGCCCCCGGAGCCGGCCUGCAGGGGUAGGCUUCAAACCACCACAAGCUGCAGGGGUAAAGAGCCCUUGUGGUGAGCGUUGCUGGAAAAGGCGGAAGGUCAUUCCGUCAGGU